GAUGAACGCUGGCGGCGUGCCUAAUACAUGCAAGUCGAGCGAACGGACGAGAAGCUUGCUUCUCUGAUGUUGGCGGCGGACGGGUGAGUAACACGUGGAUAACCUACCUAUAAGACUGGGAUAACUUCGGGAAACCGGGGCUAAUACCGGAUAAUAUUUUGAACCGCAUGGUUCAAAAGUGAAAGACGGUCUUGCUGUCACUUAUAGAUGGAUCCGCGCUGCAUUAGCUAGUUGGUAAGGUAACGGCUUACCAAGGCAACGAUGCAUAGCCGACCUGAGAGGGUGAUCGGCCACACUGGAACUGAGACACGGUCCAGACUCCUACGGGAGGCAGCAGUAGGGAAUCUUCCGCAAUGGGCGAAAGCCUGACGGAGCAACGCCGCGUGAGUGAUGAAGGUCUUCGGAUCGUAAAACUCUGUUAUUAGGGAAGAACAUAUGUGUAAGUAACUGUGCACAUCUUGACGGUACCUAAUCAGAAAGCCACGGCUAACUACGUG
rnacentral:rRNA from 1 species